UUCAGCUUCAUCUGAACCUCAAAGUUAAUCUCAUAUAGUCUCGUCUGAAGCUCCGAUUUGAUUUAAAGCUCUGAUUUUAAUACAGAAACACAGACAUGUCUGCUGGACCUGGGUCGCUCUGCUCCACCUUGCUUUUUUUCAGCAUCCUCAUGUUUGUCUCUGCAGAUCAAAAGACCGUCUUAGCUGUGCCUGGACAGGACGUCACUCUGCCAUGUCAAGCUCCAGAUAACAAACCUGUUACAGGUGUAAAGUGGAGCAGACAAGACAUCAGAGAUAAAAAUGUCUUUUUGUACCACAAGAAGCAUUUUGAUACCACCAACCAGCAUCCAUUUUUUAAGAACCGGGUGGAUCUGAAGGACAGACAGAUGAAGGAGGGAGACAUGUCUUUGAUUCUGAAGAAUGUGAUAGAUGCUUGUAAUGGAAAAUACCAGUGUCAUGUCUUCAUUGAAAAAACACGCUCGUGGAAAUCCAUUAGAACCAUCAGACUGGGUGUUGUUCCUCCAGGUAAACUGGGGAAAAUUAUUGGCGGGGUCGUUGGUUUGGUAGUUGCCAUUGCGGUUGCUGGUUGUGGUUAUCUGAUGUGCAAAAAAGAUAAAACACAAGAAACCCCGAAUCCAGAGUAGCCUCUUGCAGGCCAGCAGCAGACUGAAAUGGCUCAGAGCUCCUGACGGCUCGACUCCGAGUCUCCUGCUGCUGCUCCAUAAUCCUGCGUUGAUGCCAACCAUGGAGAAAGACACACCGAUCAUCAUCUUCAGACAUCAGACCAACAGUGUGUGUCUGUGCUGUCUGUCAGUGACUCUGGGCUACAGUUUAUUCAUCUUCAGGCUGUUACUCAGAUUUACUGACACAAAGUCAAACUGUGUUACAAAUAAACAUGAAUUUAUGAGUGUGUUUUUUAUUUUUUGAACCACACAAACAUCCUCAUAUAGAGAUCAGCUGUUACAGUUUAAUUACAGUAAUUAAAGUAAAGAUUUGUGUAGUGACAGACUCAAGCUCAGACAUCUCUCUGAUGUGAACCGUGAAGCAUGUUUCUCAUUUAUCAGACAGUUUCUGGCAGGUAAUUCAAAUAACGUAAAGUUCUUUAUCAUCGUCUCUGUUAAUAAAGAUUUGCAUUCAUG
ensembl:lncRNA